rnacentral:rRNA from 1 species
GACGAACGCUGGCGGCGUGCUUAACACAUGCAAGUCGAACGAGGAACCAGGAGGUGCUUGCACCACCUGUAACCGAGUGGCGACGGGUGAGUAACACGUGACCAACCUACCUUCAGUCGGGGGACAACCCGGGGAAACCUCGGGCUAAUACCGCAUGACGUUUCAGUGUCGCCUGGCACCGAAACCAAAGAGGGCCUCGUACUUGUAAGCUCUCGCCUGACAGGGGGUCGCGGCGUAUCAGCUAGUUGGUAGGGUAAUGGCCUACCAAGGCGACGACGCGUAGCGGGUCUGAGAGGACGACCCGUCACAUUGGGACUGAGAUACGGCCCAGACUCCUACGGGAGGCAGCAGUGGGGAAUAUUGCGCAAUGGUCGAAAGACUGACGCAGCGACGCCGCGUGUGGGAGGAAGCCCUUCGGGUCGUAAAGCUCUGUCAAGGGGGGAAAAAAUCCUUUAGAUCAAUAGUCAUUAAGGACUGAUGGUACCCCUAGAGGAAGCACCGGCUAACUCCGUG